rnacentral:rRNA from 1 species
CCUACGGGAGGCAGCAGUGGGGGAUAUUGCACAAUGGGGGAAACCCUGAUGCAGCGACGCCGCGUGAGCGAAGAAGUAUUUCGGUAUGUAAAGCUCUAUCAGCAGGGAAGAAAAUGACGGUACCUGACUAAGAAGCUCCGGCUAAAUACGUGCCAGCAGCCGCGGUAAUACGUAUGGAGCAAGCGUUAUCCGGAUUUACUGGGUGUAAAGGGAGCGUAGGCGGCCUGGCAAGUCUGGUGUGAAAUACCGGGGCCCAACCCCGGGACUGCAUUGGAAACUGCCAGGCUGGAGUGCCGGAGGGGCAGGCGGAAUUCCUAGUGUAGCGGUGAAAUGCGUAGAUAUUAGGAGGAACACCGGUGGCGAAGGCGGCCUGCUGGACGGCAACUGACGCUGAGGCUCGAAAGCGUGGGGAGCAAACAGGAUUAGAUACCCUUGUAG